rnacentral:rRNA from 1 species
AUGGUGCGGCUUAGGUCAACUAAUACGAAUAAGAUACAGUUCACUCAAUGAUUGCCCUUGGGUCCCGAACUCCAUAUGGGGAAGGAACGUUGUUGUUUGCGUGGUCUCGAUCAUUUACAUGGACCCACUUCUCAUUCCAUUUGUGGGAAUUUGAUGAUUUAUAAACCGUCCCCAACGAGCGAAUGGUUCAUGUUUGAACAUGAUGAAUCACUUCGUGCCGACCUGUUGCCCAUAAACUUUCCUGCCUAA